rnacentral:rRNA from 1 species
GAUGAACGCUGGCGGCGUGCCUAAUACAUGCAAGUCGAGCGAACAGACGAGGAGCUUGCACCUCUGCCGUUAGCGGCGGACGGGGGAGUAACACAUGAAUAACCGACAUAUAAAACAGAGAUAACUUCGGGACACCGGAGCCAAUACCGGCUAAUAUCUUGAACCGCAUGGUUCAAUAGUGCAAUACGGAUUUGCUGUCACUCAUCGAUGGAUCCCCGCCGCAUUAGCUAGUUGGUAAGGUAACGGCUUACCAAGGCAACGAUGCGUAGCCGACCUGAGAGAGUGAUCGGCGACACUGGAGCUGAGACGCGCACAAGACCCCUACGGGAGGGAGCAGUCGGGAAGGUUGCGAAAUGGGCGGAAGCCUGAUGGAGCAGCGGCGAGUCAGUGACUAAGGUCUACGGAUCGUAAAACUGUGUUAUUAGGGAAGAACAAAUUUGUAAGUAACUAUGCCCGUCUUGACGGUACCUAAUCAGAAAGCGCCGGCUAACUACGUG